rnacentral:pre_miRNA from 1 species
CCCAAGGUGGGCGGGCUGGGCGGGGGCCCUCGUCUUACCCAGCAGUGUUUGGGUGCGGUUGGGAGUCUCUAAUACUGCCGGGUAAUGAUGGAGGCCCCUGUCCCUGUGUCAGCAACAUCCAU